AUGGCGCCGGACCACCCCUCAAAAAAAAAGAUGGCGCCGGACCUAAAGGCGAAGGGAACUAGCGACGCAUUCGUGCUAAGCGAGGAGCUCUAUGGGGCCGCAAAGUUGAUGCAGCAGAGUGUUAGCCAGAUCGAGUUGAAAUCCGAUCUGUUCGAUGUGUCGGAAAGGAUCUCACGCCUGGCCGGUCCCGAGAUCCAGGCCCAGAGCAAGGUCGGCGAGGAUGCGGCGGCUGCGCUGCCCGAUCCGGCCGCCAAGGAGGAGACCCAGGAGACGAUUGUUGGUCAGGCAGACAACCCGUUCCUCUGGCAGUCCAAACCCAAAUUCAUCAUUGGCAUAUUGUCAAAGAUCCAAGAAGACGUCGGCGACGUCGCUUCGGUGCUCGAAGCAGAAAGGACGAGGAAGGAGGCGGCGGCAGCGCUAAGCUUUGCCUUCAGGUUAGAGCUGUGCUGCAAGCGGAUCGACGAGCUGUGGCGCGAGAUGCACGAAAUACUGAGAUCGUUCUCGGCGGAGAAGAAAGAUCUUGUUAAGACCAUGACCAUGUUUACUUCUGAGCCGUGCGUGCACCGCAUCGCCAAGCUGAAACGGAUCUCUGAGCGUAUCACCACGCUCCGGCGGUUGGACCCAGGUCUUGACUCCAAAGUGAAAUCAACGCUCGUCCGGUUGAAAUCGGAAUCCUUCUUAUCCGCCAUGGAGGGCGAGAGCGAAGGUGUUGGGAGGAGACGGAGCCAAAUCUUCCGCGGAGAUGGACAAAUCUCUAACGCAUGCUUCGAUGGGCGGUGUGCAGCGUUAUUGAGCCCCAUGCAAUAUACACAUUGCACACCAGGCCGCAUCCCCGUUGACGCUGUUGCGGGGAGCACCUUGCAGAUCAACUCCAUCAAAGUCUCUGCAGUAGAAGAACUCGGGCAUUCACCGGAGGUGUAUGGAGUGGAUCCUUUUUUGCAAUUGACUGGGCCAGUACGUGCGAUUGUGUCGACGGAUACUGUUUACAUUGAAAUCCUACUAAAAGUAAAGGACGAAACAAAAUCUGAGGAUAGAGCAUUGAUCAGUACAUUCUACCUUUAUAAUGCUGAGCAACAUGGAAGUUUCCUUGUCAGCAGCCCCUUAUGCACAGUGGAACUAUGCUGUGAGAGACUUCAAGAGUCAGUCCAGGCCACUAUCCUGAGUGCAGUAGUUAAAGCCCACGAAGGGUCAUCUCCUUUUCCACACGGCGGAAGAAUUGUCUGCUCUUCACUACCUUGUCAUGGUUAUGAGGAUAUCAUUGGGCUCCCAUCUACGGAAGUUGUGCUGCUUGAGUCACAAAAUGGAAGAAUGCCAAUGGCUAGAAAUGGUCACCUUGAUCUGAUAAGGCAUGUGGUUUCUGUGGAAUUAAGAGGAAAGUUGAAAUUUAUCAUAAAGACCUAUUCACCUUCACACCCUGCUGAGAUGGCUACUAUUGAUGUCCUCUUCACACCCGAAAAAUGCAACAUCAGUAAAAAAACAUGUAACCUUGAUGGUGGCUCUGAGGUGGAGAUUACUGUUGCUUGGUCCUUCCUUCCUUCGAUGCUAUCUUGA
rnacentral:rRNA from 1 species